rfam:Homo sapiens chromosome 3, GRCh38 reference primary assembly.
GGUAGAGUGAGCUCUAAUCCAAUAUUACUAGCUUCUUUAUAAGAAGAGGAAACUAGUAAUGUUGGAUUAGGGCUCACUCUACU